UCUACCACAGACAGAUUUUUUUCACAAGUGUCCCUUAAUAAUAGGCAUGCCCCAGCAUGCUAUUAAUAUGUGCUUAUUUGAUGAAUUUUAUCUUCUGUGAAAAUGCAGUUUCUUCACACUGAACACAGUGUGCAUUUCAGGCUUACGGCUUUCCUCUUCUUUUGUCAUGGAACGAUUUGAUUUGAACCCUGAUGAGUUUCAUGUUAUUAGUGGAAUGAGAUCUACUUCGUCGUUGUCACCGUACAUGGCAGAGAUUAAGACUGUUGUCUAGGAAUGGCAGGUAGCAGAAUAAGGAAGUGACUGACAGUGCCUGACUUCCUACUAUGAAAAAGUGUUCUGGUAUCAUUGGAUUGGAGAAACUGACCCACUGGAACAUAAAACAUACUUGGUUCAAAUGGCUUCAUCCAGAUUUGAGAAGUCAUUCGAGAGUGUUUGAAACCAAGGGCCGCAGUUGUGGCGCCCAGGCCACAGGUGGAAACGGAGCUGCAGCUGCCAGCCUACACUACAGCCAUAGCAAUGCCAGAUCCAAGCCAUGUCUGCG